AACCGCCGCUGCAGACUCAGGCACUCCUGCACUCUUAGGGGCCUGAGAAGGCGGCCUCUGCUCUUGCAGGCUCGGAAAUGCCUGCCCUGUCUUCCUGGCUUCUCCCUGCUCUUAGUGCUCCCUGGGAUCUCAGAGCAAAGUCGGCCCAAGCCUGGGAGCCAACAACAGUGGGAGGCAGAGUCCUAGGCAGAAGGGGGUGGGUCCCUGGUAAGGUCCCUGCCUCAGACCAGGGAGCACCUGAAGGCUGGGGGGUCAGGCUGCCAGACCCACUGACUGGAGUGGGAACUGGUGCCUUUUCAAGGCCUGCCCAUGGCCACCUAUGGGCCAGUCAGCACACACUUCCUCCCCUCUGAGGCCCAUAAAAAGCUCCAGGCUCCCCCAGAGCUGAGCAGAGGUCGGGCGGACCAGCAGCAGAGAGGAGCUACUCUCUCUGCUAAGAGCGUCAUAGACUUGCAGAGACCUACGGAGACGCCUGCAGACCUGGCUGAGGAGAGGAGCUACCCUCCCCAAUGCCUCCUCUCUGCUGAGAGCAGCUGACCUCAGCACUGCCAGUGACUAGAAAGGAGUUACUCUCUCCAGGGCCUCCUCUCUGCUGAGACCAGCGGACCUCGGCACUGCCAGUGGGUAGAAAGGAGUUACUCUCUCCAGGGCCUCCUCUCUGCUGAGAGCAGCUGACCUCGGCACUGCCAGUGGGUAGAAAGGAGUUACUCUCUCCAGGGCCUCCUCUCUGCUGAGAACAGCGGACCUCGGCACAUCCAGUGGGUAGAGAGGAGUUGCUCUCUCCAGGGCCUCCUCUCUGCUGAGAACAGCGGACCUCGGCACAUCCAGUGGGUAGAGAGGAGUUGCUCUCUCCAGGGCCUCCUCUCUGCUGAGAGCUGAACACUGCAUGGGCGACCUGCCUGCCCACAGAGGGGAGCUUCCCACUGUGCAUCUCCCUCUGAGCUGUUCUAACGCUAAAUAAAGCUCCUCUUCAUAUUCUUCACCCUUCGCUUGUCAGCAAACUUCAUUCUUCCUGGACGCAGGACAAGAACUCAGGCAAAGGGCAAAGGUGCCACCAGCAACAGAGGUUUCAGGGAAAGAAAACUGAUACCCUAAAGAUCCUGUAACACAAGUGUGGUGCAGACAUUCUUCACUGCAAUUUUUCCUAUUUGUAGAGCACUGUUGUUUAUUCUGUGAAAGCUAAUACUCUAUGUUACAAAUGCUAAAGAAAAAGAAGUGAAAAAGAUCAUCCCUACUGAAAGAGAAUGCCUCUAGCUUCAUUACACAAAUGCACAGUUUUCUGGCAAUUUAAAUAGAAUUUCGAGCAAAUGAAAGAGAACAGUGGAAAUCAUAUAAAACUCUCUUAAUGAAUGGCAUGGAAACGUUCGUUGGAAACACCAAGGAAAGGCCAUAAGCAGACAUAGUAGGAAGGCAGCUGCAAGCAGGAAAAGAAGCCUCACCAGAAACUGAAUUUGCUAGCAAUGCCGUUGACUUCUAGGCUCCAGUACAGAGAAUAGAUUGUGGAAGAAGGCAAGAGAGUGUAUUUUCUUCCUAGAGGCAAAAAAGACUGACCAUAAUCAACAGGUAGUGGAAGGAGAAGCAGCUGAGAAAGU